GAUGAACGCUAGCGGAAGGCCUAACACAUGCAAGUCGAGCGGUAUUUGGUAGCUUGCUACUAGAGAGAGCGGCGUACGGGUGCGUAACAUGUGUGCAACCUACCCUUAUCAAGGGGAUAGCCAUUCGAAAGGAUGAUUAAUACCCUAUAAUAUAUCAGGUGGCAUCAUUUGAUAUUGAAAGCUACGGUGGAUAAGGAUGGGCACGCACAAGAUUAGCUAGUUGGUGAGGUAACGGCUUACCAAGGCGAUGAUCUUUAGGGGUCCUGAGAGGGAGAUCCCCCACACUGGGACUGAGACACGGCCCAGACUCCUACGGGAGGCAGCAGUGAGGAAUAUUGGACAAUGGGUGGGAGCCUGAUCCAGCCAUUCCGCGUGCAGGAAGAAGGUCUUAUGGAUUGUAAACUGCUUUUAUAUAGGGAUAAACCUACUCUCGAGAGGGUAGCUGAAGGUACUAUAUGAAUAAGCACCGGCUAACUCCGUGC
rnacentral:rRNA from 1 species